GGUCAAGCUAGAAAGAGCGCAAGGGGAAUGCCUUGGCAUCAGGAGCCGACGAAGGACGUGACAAGCUGCGAUAAGCUACGGGGAGCGGCACAUACGCUUUGAUCCGUGGAUUUCCGAAUGGGGCAACCCGGCAGAGCAAUACUCUGUCAGCGUGCGUUGAAUAAAAUAGGCGUACGCGGGGAACCGCCUGAACUGAAACAUCUAAGUAGGGCGAGGAAGAGAAAUCAACCGAGAUUCCGCAAGUAGUGGCGAGCGAACGCGGAAGAGGGCAAACCAGAGGAUUUAUCCUCUGGGGUUGUGGACUGACACAACGGCAGGAUAGUUUAGCUGAACGGUAUGGGAAGGCCGACCACAGCGGGUGAUAGUCCCGUAAGCGAAAAAUGAUUCCUGUUAGUCAGUAUCCGGAGUACCGCCGGACACGUGAAACCCGGUGGGAAGCUGGGGGGACCACCCUCCAACCCUAAAUACUACCUGAUGACCGAUAGAGGAGCAGUACCGUGAGGGAAAGGUGAAAAGGACCCCGGGAGGGGAGUGAAAUAGAACCUGAAACCUUGUGCUUACAAGCACUCAAAGCCCGUUAACGGGUGAUGAGGUACCUUUUGUAGAAUGGUCCGGCGAGUUAUUGUAACAAGCAAGCUUAAGGUAUUCAGUACCGGAGGCGAAGGGAAACCGAGGGUUAAUAGCCCG
rnacentral:rRNA from 1 species